UACGAAGGGGGCUAGCGUUGCUCGGAAUGACUGGGCGUAAAGGGCGCGUAGGCGGUUUGUACAGUCAGGUUGUGAAAUUCCCGGGCUCAACCUGGGGGCUGCACUUGAUACGUAUGGACUGGAGUGGGGAAGAGGGUCGUGGAAUUCCCAGUGUAGAGGUGAAAUUCGUAGAUAUUGGGAAGAACACCGGGUGGCGAAGGCGGCGACCUGGUCCUUGACUGACGCUGAGGCGCGAAAGCGUGGGGAGCAACAGG
rnacentral:rRNA from 1 species